CAAGUUUCUCAAGGCCUUUAUUUCUCUAAACUGACUGGCAUAUGUGGUAUAUAGAAAGUACACAAGUCUAUAAAAAGAUUUGAGACUUCGUGCUCCAAUCAGGCCCAAUACAUCUUUGAGGUUUCAUAAUAGAGAAUAGAGAACAAGGAUAUCCAUAAACCCAGGCUAAUUUCUUAAAAUCUAUUUCUUAUUUAGAGCAGGAAAGGCUUCCAUGUGGAGACAUUAGGACUUAAAUAGUCACAAGUAUGCACAUGUCAUUUAAGAAGCAGCUGAGAUUUCUUCAUGUAUUUGCUUGCAAGCUGUUUGUUUUCUCCUCUCUAUUCCAGCUGGAAAUUGCUUAUAGCCUCUCUCAGAAGGACUUGUCAGCACAAACAAUGCAGAUUGCAAAAUGAGAAAAUCUGAAACAAAAGCACAUGCUCAAAUCUCCCAGGAUAAUAAUUUUCAAGUACAUACUUCAUAACACUUUUUGAAAAAUAAGUGAGAUAAUGUGCAAGACAACCUUUAGCCCAUUGGACAAGGCAUGUCUCUGAGCUGUAGUUUCUUCAUGUCAGGCCUCUGAGCCUAAGCCAAGCCAUCGCAUCUUCUGUGACUUGCACGUAUGCAUCCAGAUGGCCUGAAGGAACUGAAGAUCUACAAAAGAAGUAAAAAUAGCCUUAACUGAUGACAUUCCACCAUAGUGAUUUGUUCCUGCACUACCUUAACUGAUCAAUGUACUUUGUAAUUCUCCGCACCCUUGAGAAUGUACUUUGUGAGAUCCACCCCUGCCUGCAAAACAUUGCUCUUAACUUCACCGCCUAUCUUAAAACUUGUAAGAACUAAUGAUAAUCCACCACAUUUUGCUGACUCUCUUUUCGGACUCAGCCUACCUGCACCCAGGUGAAA
rnacentral:lncRNA from 1 species